rnacentral:rRNA from 1 species
UACGGGGGGGGCAAGCGUUGUUCGGAAUUACUGGGCGUAAAGGGCUCGUAGGCGGCCAACUAAGUCAGACGUGAAAUCCCUCGGCUUAACCGGGGAACUGCAUCUGAUACUGGAUGGCUUGAGUUUGGGAGAGGGAUGCGGAAUUCCAGGUGUAGCGGUGAAAUGCGUAGAUAUCUGGAGGAACACCGGUGGCGAAGGCGGCAUCCUGGACCAACACUGACGCUGAGGAGCGAAAGCGUGGGGAGCAAACAGG